rnacentral:lncRNA from 1 species
AUGUUACGACUUUUCCUUAGGUCAAGUUUCUUGAAAAAAUAAUGUGAAAUUGAGGUUGGCUCACAAUAAAUUAUUGAGGAGUGAACUGAGACAAUGCCCAUAAGGAAAGGAGUCAAGCAGGACCUCACAGAGCAAGAGGCUGAAUCACGCAUUUUUGGAAGGUAUUAUUGGCAUAAUACUCGCUGAUGGCUUACAUAGCAUUCAGAUACCAGCUUCUCAAUCUCUGAAGUUGACAGCACGCACUGCCCUGAAACCUACCCCAGUGAUGUAGCUACAUCAUCCCAGUGCGGAAGGUCCACAUGCAUAAGAUCCAAAAGAAAAAUCCCCUUUUUUUUAGAUUAGCAAAAUCUGGAAGUCAAGUGUACAGCUUUACUUUUCGUUCCUCUGUGCAAGCUCAUCGUGGUCACACCACCACCGCUCCCCUCACAGAUGAAUAGAGAGCUGAUUGUGAUAUGUUUCAUACUCCGAACAGUGUGUGAAAACCUCUGAGUGUGGUAUCUUUUGUAUUAUUAUGCAGAAAACACAUUUUUGAAUAGCUGUUGUGUUUCGAGGACAGGGAUAAGUAAAACUAUUUUAC